AUUGAACGCUGGCGGCAGGCCUAACACAUGCAAGUCGAGCGGGGUUUUCGGACCUAGCGGCGGACGGGUGAGUAAUGCGUAGGAAGCUACCCGAUAGAGGGGGAUACCAGUUGGAAACGACUGUUAAUACCACAUAAUGUCUACGGACCAAAGUGUGGGACCUUCGGGCCACAUGCUAUCGGAUGCGCCGACGUGGGAUUAGCUAGUUGGUGAGGUAAUGGCUCACCAAGGCGACGAUCUCUAGCUGGUUUGAGAGGAUGAUCAGCCACACUGGAACUGAGACACGGUCCAGACUCCUACGGGAGGCAGCAGUGGGGAAUAUUGGACAAUGGGCGCAAGCCUGAUCCAGCCAUGCCGCGUGUGUGAAGAAGGCCUUCGGGUUGUAAAGCACUUUCAGCGAGGAGGAAGGGGUUGUAGUUAAUAGCUGCAACCUUUGACGUUACUCGCAGAAGAAGCACCGGCUAACUCUGUGCCAGCCGCCGCUGUAACAC
rnacentral:rRNA from 1 species